rnacentral:rRNA from 1 species
CCUACGGGCAGCAGCAGUGGGGAAUAUUGGACAAUGGGGGGAACCCUGAUCCAGCCAUGCCGCGUGUGUGAAGAAGGCCCUCGGGUUGUAAAGCACUUUCAGUGAGGAAGAACGCCUGGUGGUUAAUACCCAUCAGGAAAGACAUCACUCACAGAAGAAGCACCGGCUAACUCCGUGCCAGCAGCCGCGGUAAUACGGAGGGUGCGAGCGUUAAUCGGAAUUACUGGGCGUAAAGCGCGCGUAGGUGGCUUGAUAAGCCGGUUGUGAAAGCCCCGGGCUCAACCUGGGAACGGCAUCCGGAACUGUCAAGCUAGAGUGCAGGAGAGGAAGGUAGAAUUCCCGGUGUAGCGGUGAAAUGCGUAGAGAUCGGGAGGAAUACCAGUGGCGAAGGCGGCCUUCUGGACUGACACUGACACUGAGGUGCGAAAGCGUGGGUAGCAAACAGGAUUAGAUACCCCGGUAGUC